ACAUCUGACUCCCUGGCAUGAUCAUCACACUCACGGUCAGAACGGCAGCACACACUCUGGCACUGAUGCCGGGAACUGUGAGUCACUGCUCCGGGUUCUUCCUGGUGUGGAAGUGAGUCUCCGAAGAGGGAGAAAGAGCAGUCUGUCAGAUACUUCAUGCACUAUAUCCCAUGGAAUUAUUUAAGAUGAGUAAAACUCUUUUGAGAAAUUAUUUUCUUUGUUCAAAGACUCAUACGUGGAUCCUUCCUGAAAAAUAUGUGAUUAGUCUUUUUAUCUAAAAGACCAUGGAAUUCUUCAUUUUCUCAGUUUUUUUUUUCCUACCUCCUCUUUCUUCAUCCGUUAUUUUCAACGAUAAAAAUGUAAACUUUGUUACAAGGUCAUUUGGAACUGGGAGCUUUUAGAAAAACAUUGAAUGAAAUAAAACAUAGUCAGUGACUAUAUGACUUUA
rnacentral:sRNA from 1 species